rnacentral:piRNA from 1 species
UGGCUGCAGCUGAGUGUGACCCAUGGGA